CUUGUAUACUAAAUUGUGUAUGACAUUGGAUACUUCACGUACAUAGUAGACUUUGUAUUAUAUAUUGCAUGCUAUAUAUACUAUGUUACAUAUUUAUACAUUACAUAUUAUGUAAUAUAUAUGCAAUUAAUAUACUCUCAUGUGAAUAUACAAUUUACAAUAUACAAUAUGUACUAUAUGCAUUACAAGUUCAAAAUUACAUAUGCUACAUGUUCUAUAUGUACCAUAAUUUACAAUAUAUUGUCUCAUAAAUGGUAUAUAUUUUCAUAUUAACAUUUUAUAUUUCUGACAGUUGUUAAUAAGAUCAGCCCAAGUAUAGAUAUGUGCCUAUACUACAGGAUAGUGCAGACAUGACUAUUUUUUCAAUUGUUAAAUUUAGUAUUUUUAUUGUUUCCAUUAUAGUAGAUUUAUAGUAUUCUGUCCAUUUCUACUGUACAGCAAAGUGACUCAAUCAUACAUAUAUAAUUUCUUUUUCUCACAUUAUCCUCCAUCAUGGUCUAUCCCAAGUGACUGGACAUAGUUCCCUGUGCUGCACAGCAGGAUCUCAUUGCUUUUCUAUUCCAAAGGCAAUAGUUUGCAUCUGUUAACCCCAGACUCCCCGUCCAUCCCACUCCCUCCCCCUCUGCAACCACUAGUCUGUUCUCCAAGUCCAUAAGUUUCUUUCUUUUCUGGGCAAAGGCUCAUGUUUACAUUCCAGAUUUCCUUAAAGGCUGCUUCCUUUCAGGCUAAAGACGUUACAGACGAAGCACCUACCUUCCUGAAGCCUGUGACUCCCGACGGCGUCCCUGGAGGACGUCCCGGCGUGAAGGCUGGACGCUGUCCUGUACGGUGAAUCAGAUGACUCCUCUGCUCGACCCAGUCCAUCUCCAAGGGGGAGCAUGAACAUCAGGCAUCAUCACCACAGAUCUCCAAUACCGUUUGUGUUAAAUGGAUGCUAUGGGGCCUCCCGCGUAGGAUGGUAUGAAGUAUGGAGAGAGACGGGAGCUGCUCAAAUGGACACUCACCUUCCUCCUCCUCUCCGUCCCCAGGGGCUCCAUCCACACGGCCUUUCCUGCUUCUCGAGGCUCCGUCCUGAGACCUGCCUGGGCACAUCCACACUUGUGGAGCCAGAGGCAGCCUCAGGGUCUGAACGCUGGCACCUGUCUGUGGAGCAGCCGGGAUUCCUCGGGGAAAAGAGAAACAGGUUCCGAUUAUUUUAGGUACCGAUGUCCCUGCAGCCUGGGGUCCAGGUAACGGUCUCGGUAACUACCCGCUUCCCCAUCUGCUGCUGAGACAUCUGUCCCCCACCCCCCCCGAGAACCCCAGCCCAGGGCUAAGGAGACCUUACAUCCUCCGGGGGCAGCCCCCUGCCGACUCUUCACUCUGGGUCCAGAAACAGUCCUGACGAAUCCGCCCGUCACGUAGCCCCGGGGUGUUGGCGAUUCUGUUAAUUCCAGUCUCUUCCUGUUCUAGAAUUUAUGAAUCCCCCAUUGCUCAGUUAGCUGGACCCCCAGAGCCGUAAUAACCACACUGGUUGUUUUUUUGUUCCCCCUCUGGGGUCAUCCCCCGCCUGUGUUCUGGGAUCAAAGCGUUUUUUUCUUUUUAGGGCCGUGACUGCAGCAUGUGGAAGUGCCCAGACUAUAGGGGUUGAAUCGGAGCUGCAGCUGCCAGUCUACACCGCAGCCAUGUGGGGUCCAAGCCACUUCUGUGACCUACACCACAGCUCACGACAGAGGCCAGAUCCUUAACCCAGGGAGUCCCCAUACCUCUCAUGAGAAGAUGAUCUGAGCAGUUCCCUGAGGCCGACGAAAAGCGGAACUGCCUGGGCGGACACCGGUCUCGCUGAGAAACCGAUGGUUGGUUCCGACGUGGCAGCAGCUUUGAGAGUUUUUAGAGAUUCCCUGAGAGAAAUCACUCUCUGCCAUCAAAUGACCACAGCAGAAUGACCGCAGUGCUCACAGCGCUAAGACUCCCCAUGAAGCCGUCUGCUCUGCUCCUGGGACGUCAGGUCAUAGGAGCUGGAAGGACCUCGCCGUCUCGGUGACAGUGACUACAAUUGGGAUUAACUUUCGGAGCAGAUGCUCGAUGGCUGUCUGCUUCCCACCUCUGUCACUGACGACUUUCCAGGCAACCUCCCACCCUGGGUGCACAUGCCCACUGCCCUGCACAGAUGCACACAUGCAGACACAGACUUGUACAGAGAUGACACAUACACACCUGUACACACACACUCACAUAAAGACACACUUGUAGACACAUGCAUACACAAAACAUGCAACAUGGGCAGACAUGCACAGACAUGCAGAAACAGAUACACAGGCACAAAGACUCAGAUACAUAACACACAAGACCACACCCUCACAUGGACACCCCUGUGCACACAGUGAGUUCUCUAGAAUCCAAAAACCACUCUCCUGCCUUCUCUUUAACCAAGUUCAAAAACUACAGAUUUAUGUCCUUUCAUUUUUCUGAAUUGAAAAUACAACCAACAGUUCUCAGGUUCAGAUGCAUAUGUUUCUAGGCGUCUCAGCACUGUUGGAUAUAUGUAUAUUACAUAUGCUCGGCUGUCCCCACUUACACACGGACAUUCUAGAGGCGCUUGGGGUAGAUGAAUAUAUGUAUACACACACACACAUAUACUGGGGUAGAUGGACGACCAGAUCAAUAGAUACCAGUUGC
rnacentral:lncRNA from 1 species